UACGGAGGGUGCAAGCGUUAUCCGGAUUUACUGGGUUUAAAGGGUGCGUAGGCGGGCCUUUAAGUCGGUGGUGAAAGCUCCGAGCUUAACUCGGAAACUGCCAUUGAUACUAUUGGUCUUGAAUUCGGUCGAGGUUGGCGGAAUGUGUCGUGUAGCGGUGAAAUGCUUAGAUAUGACACAGAACACCGAUUGCGAAGGCAGCUAGCUAGACCGACAUUGACGCUGAGGCACGAAAGCGUGGGGAGCAAACAGG
rnacentral:rRNA from 1 species